UAUUUAUUUAAUGUUGAUGCUCCUUUAUUAUUUCAAUGUUGAUUUAUUUAUACAUAUAUUGUUUAUUUUUUGUUGAUUUUUUUAUUUUUGUUUACUGCUAAUAAAUUAUAUGUUUAUUCUACUAUCGACUUUUAUUUGCACAAAAUGUAAUAUCAUCACAUAUUAUACCAGUUAUUUAUAAAAAAAUUCAAAUGGUUUUUGGUCAUCAUAGCACCAAACUCCAUUUGGAUUGCUUAAUAUUUCGUUAAUAAAUUCAAAACAAGUAUAGGAAAACCACUCACUUCAAAUUUCCCGCGUUUGUCGAGUUUGUUCUUGGCCCGGUCGCCAGGGGGAGCUAAUUUCAAAUGAUUCUACUUUAGGUAGGGGAGUGUCCCAUCCAUAGACAAAUAAAGAGAAGACUGACGACUGCGUGGAGUCGUUUGAAAUGUUGAUGCUAGCGACCCGAGGGACAGGGUUAGGAACUAAUGUAUCGCUAUUUCACACAAAAACAUCAUCCUUAUCUACUGAUGAAAUGUUUUCGGCGUAAAUUCCAACCUCUCUUUUGUGUUUCAGUUCUCCCCUGAUUAUUAUUUUCUUGCAGGUACAAGUUUGUUAAUAAUAAUAACAAUCUUUAUUUCAGAAGGUUCUCAUUUACAAAAAAAUAACAAAUGAAACAAUGUCAAAAACUCUUUACAUAUAAAAAUCCCAGAUUUUAGAGGAUUCCAGUUGAAUUAAAUGAUCAUGUAGGUUUCAAAAGGCUUACGUUGGAGUUCUGCCAAAGAAUUGAAGAUUCCAAUUCUCAAUCAAUCCUUCGAUUUCCUGGAUAUUUGUCAGUUAUCACAAAAAUAAUUAUUUUAUCUUCAAAUGAAAUGUUUCCUUCUUUAAUAUUUGAGUGGUACAAUACGAUAUAUAUAAUUUGAUUCAAUUAUUUCAUUAAUUUCUGUUCACAAAUAUCAAUUUGUAUAAUUAUGUGCAAUAAAAAGUAUGUCAAAA